rnacentral:rRNA from 1 species
AUGGCUCAGAUUGAACGCUAGCGGGAUGCCUUACACAUGCAAGUCGAACGGCAGCACGGACUUCGGUCUGGUGGCGAGUGGCGAACGGGUGAGUAAUGUAUCGGAACGUGCCUAGUAGCGGGGGAUAACUACGCGAAAGCGUAGCUAAUACCGCAUACGCCCUACGGGGGAAAGCAGGGGAUCGCAAGACCUUGCACUAUUAGAGCGGCCGAUAUCGGAUUAGCUAGUUGGUGGGGUAACGGCUCACCAAGGCGACGAUCCGUAGCUGGUUUGAGAGGACGACCAGCCACACUGGGACUGAGACACGGCCCAGACUCCUACGGGAGGCAGCAGUGGGGAAUUUUGGACAAUGGGGGAAACCCUGAUCCAGCCAUCCCGCGUGUGCGAUGAAGGCCUUCGGGUUGUAAAGCACUUUUGGCAGGAAAGAAACGUCAUGGGUUAAUACCCCGUGAAACUGACGGUACCUGCAGAAUAAGCACCGGCUAACUACGUGCCAGCAGCCGCGGUAAUACGUAGGGUGCAAGCGUUAAUCGGAAUUACUGGGCGUAAAGCGUGCGCAGGCGGUUCGGAAAGAAAGAUGUGAAAUCCCAGAGCUUAACUUUGGAACUGCAUUUUUAACUACCGAGCUAGAGUGUGUCAGAGGGAGGUGGAAUUCCGCGUGUAGCAGUGAAAUGCGUAGAUAUGCGGAGGAACACCGAUGGCGAAGGCAGCCUCCUGGGAUA